rnacentral:misc_RNA from 1 species
GAUGAAGAACGCAGCGAAAUGCGAUACGUAAUGUGAAUUGCAGAAUUCAGUGAAUCAUCGAGUCUUUGAACGCACAUUGCGCCCCCUGGUAUUCCGGAGGGCAUGCCUGUCCGAGCGUCAUUGCUGCCCUCAAGUACGGCUUGUGUGUUGGGCCCCCGUCCCCCCCUCUGCCGGGGGGACGGGCCCGAAAGGCAGCGGCGGCACCGCGUCCGGUCCUCGAGCGUAUGGGGCUUCGUCACCCGCUCUUGUAGGCCCGGCCGGCGCCAGCCGACCCCAACCCUAAAUUUUUUUCAGGUUGACCUCGGAUCAGGUAGGGAUACCCGCUGAACUUAAGCAUAUCAAUAAGCGGAGGA